CAUUUUUCAAAUUAUUAUUUUUUCAUUUAUUUAUUUAUUUUAAAAUUUUUGCUUGAAAGUCAAAACGUACGUGUUUCUUCUAUUUGUCUGUGGAUGGCUAUUAGUCCUAUGGUGCCUUGUCCUUAGGGGGGAGGGGUAUUAACAAACUUUCUCAAGUCAAGACGUCACAAUCAACGAAUUGAAGAUCACAACCCUUCCCUAUCCAUCGUUAUCAUAAUUUAGCAUUAAGGUUAUCCCUGCCCUUAAGAACAUCAAAAGAGACAAAAUCCUGAACUUCCCAGAGUUAACGGGAUUCUUCACAUUAAUUGCUGAAGAGUAACAUACCAAGACAAGUUGGUGGAGAAUUUUAAAAAAUGGAAGGUGUGAAACACAAAUCCUGCAGUAGUCAUGCCUCUUGUAAAUUCUACUAAAAUCCUGGCCAAGCUGGUGCAUCCUUUGGAGAACAAACUGCUGGCUAUGUAUGCUAUGUUGACACAAGUGUUUAUUAAACGCUGUGGUGUGUUUGUGGAGUAAUGUCUCAGGUUCAGUUGGUGAAGCAGGCGUAUUAGGGUUUGUCUAAUUCAAACAAUUAAACAAGGUAAAAAAUAGAAAGUUACCUCUGUGAUAAUUAAAAUUAGUAACUCGUUGACAUUUCCUUAAGAACAUUGAAAAUACUACAUAUAAAUACUGACGAGCUUGCUUCUUGAAGGGUCCAUCUUUUCUUUCCCUGGGAAUGUCCAAGAAUAGAAUUAACGUUUGCGUCGACAGAUAGUAAAUCAACUCUUACUCGUUCCGUUUCGUUUAUCCAAAUGCAUGCAUUCUGUGCUUGAAUUUUAUAAUUUAUUAGUUUCAUAAGGUUUUAAUUAAUCAUUAACAAAUACAUUUUCCAUCCACACGUCUUGCACUAU